GCGGGUAUAGCUCAGUGAUAGAGCGUGUGCCGAGCAUGCGUGAGGUCCUGGGUUCAAGCCUCAGUACCUCCA
rnacentral:tRNA from 1 species